CUCCUUACUCCUCGACGAAACCCUAGGCUUUCUCGUCCUCCAAAUCCCUCUUCGUCCCAGUUUCCAAUCCCUCUUUCGCCAAUCGAAUCCCUCCCAAGGUAACAUCGGCUCCUGUCAGUAACCCUUUUCGUCCGUCGCCGCUCGGACGGAGGCUUCUCUCUCAGGCAUGUUGGAACUUUCCUGUGUCCCUCUUUCGAUCCCGUUGUCGCCCUGGCGAAAAUGAUGCUACUGUGGUGUUAGUGAGCUUGGAGACGCCGCAUUGAAGAAGAAGAAGAAGAAGAAGAAGAAGAAGAAGAAGAAGAAGAAGAAGCUUCAUUCCGUUGUCUCUGCUCAUCGAUCGCGGCCUUACAAAGAGCAGAUGUUCCUCGGAGGUGUAGGAUGGUCUUCUGUACCUUUAAUCGUGGAUACCACCACCUAUCUUAUCUCUCUGAUGAAGAAGUGUCAGUUCGUCGAGAAAUGUCUCAAAAUCGUUGACGAGAAAGCCAGAAGGAUGGAUCAGAUAUUCGUUUUCCAGGUCAGAGAGUAUUUAGCUGUCUUAUGGCUUUCAUCAGCUAGAUGGGUGGAUACUUCUACAACUAUCUGAUUUACCAAAUA